rnacentral:rRNA from 1 species
UACGUAGGGGGCUAGCGUUGUCCGGAAUCAUUGGGCGUAAAGCGCGCGUAGGCGGCUCGGUAAGUCCGCUGUAAAAGUCAAAGGCUCAACCUUUGAAUGCCGGUGGAUACUGCCGGGCUAGAGUCCGGAAGAGGCGAGUGGAAUUCCUGGUGUAGCGGUGAAAUGCGCAGAUAUCAGGAAGAACACCUAUGGCGAAGGCGGCUCACUGGCCCGGUACUGACACUGAGGUGCGAAAGCGUGGGGAGCAAACAGG